UACGUAGGUGGCAAGCGUUGUCCGGAUUUACUGGGCGUAAAGAGCGCGCAGGCGGUCGUUCAAGUCGCGUGUGAAAGCCCCCGGCUCAACUGGGGAGGGUCACGCGAUACUGAUCGACUCGAAGGCAGGAGAGGGAAGUGGAAUUCCCGGUGUAGUGGUGAAAUGCGUAGAUAUCGGGAGGAACACCAGUGGCGAAGGCGACUUCCUGGCCUGCUCUUGACGCUGAGGCGCGAAAGCUAGGGGAGCAAACGGG
rnacentral:rRNA from 1 species